GUGUCAGCCGCCGCGGUAAGACGGAGGGGGCAAGCGUUGUCCGGAAUUACUGGGCGUAAAGCGCUCGUAGGCGGUCGCAUACGGCGGUGGUGAAAGCUCCCGGCUCAACUGGGAGAGGCCCGCCGCAACGGUGCGACUCGAGGAUGGUAGAGGCAGAUGGAAUUCCUGGUGUAGCGGUGAAAUGCGUAGAGAUCAGGAGGAACACCCAUGGCGAAGGCAGUCUGCUGGGCCACACCUGACGCUGAGGAGCGAAAGCUAGGGGAGCGAACGGGAUUAGAUACCCUUGUAGUCC
rnacentral:rRNA from 1 species